GCUCAGAAGGCAGCGACUGGCGUGUCUCCACCAUGGCCUGGGCUCUGCUCCUUGUCACCCUCCUCACUCAGGGCACAGGGUCCUGGGCCCAGUCUGCCCUGACUCAGCCUCCCUCAGUGUCUGGGAAUCCGGGACAGACGGUCACCAUCUCCUGUGCUGGAACCAGCAGUGACAUCGGGAAAUAUAAUUAUGUCAGCUGGUACCAACAGCACCCGGGCAUGGCCCCCAAAAUGCUGAUUUAUGAUGUCAAUAAACGACCCUCAGGGAUCCCUGAUCGCUUCUCUGGCUCCAAGUCUGGGAACACGGCCUCCCUGACCAUCUCUGGCCUCCAGGCUGAGGAUGAGGCUGAUUAUUACUGUAGAAGCCUGCUAAAUUCCUACUUGGUCAAAAAAAAUUCUAGGUCAAAGACCUUGGAGAUAGUCAUCCAGCAGAGGGCGCUGCGGAAUGUCCCCUUCACUGAGGUUCCCAGAGACACAGCCCUGUCCCAGCAGAGACCCUGA